rnacentral:rRNA from 1 species
GACAGAGGCCUCAAGCGUUAGGCGGAAUCACUGGGCUUAAAGCGUGUGUAGGCGGAUCGUUAAGUGUCUUGUGAAAUCCCACGGCUCACCCGUGGAACGGCUGGGCAUACUGGCGAUCUUGGGCCAACUAGGGGCAACUGGAACAAGCGGUGGAGCGGUGAAAUGCGUAGAUAUCGCUUGGAACGCCCGGAAGGUGAAAACAGGUUGCUGGGGUUG